GUGCUUGUUUUAGCAGCACAUAUGCUAAAAUUAAAAAGAUAGAGAUUAGAUGGCCCUUGCACAAGGAUGGCACACACAAAUUCGUGAAAUGCCCCAUAUUUUU
rnacentral:snRNA from 1 species